rnacentral:misc_RNA from 1 species
GAUGAAGAACGUAGCGAAAUGCGAUAAGUAAUGUGAAUCGCAGAAUUCAGUGAAUCAUCGAAUCUUUGAACGCACAUUGCGCCCCCCAGUAUUCUGGCGGGCAUGCCUGUUCGAGCGUCAUUUCAACCAUCAAGCCCUGCUUGUGUUGGGGUCCUGCGGCUGCCCGCAGGCCCUGAAAACCAGUGGCGGGCUCGCUAGUCACACCGAGCGCAGUAGCACAUCUCGCUCAGGGCGUGCGGCGGGCUCCAGCCGUUAAAGCACCCACCUUUCGCAAGGUUGACCUCGGAUCAGGUAGGAAUACCCGCUGAACUUAAGCAUAUCAAUAAGCGGAGGA